GGGGAUGUAGCUCAGUGGUAGAGCACCUGCCUAGGUGCAUGAAGCUCUGGGUUCAAUCCCCCAACCCUU
rnacentral:tRNA from 1 species